GGGAGUGUAGCUUAGAGGUAGAGCGCUUGCCUAGUACGUGUGAGAGCCUGGGUUUACACCACAGCACUGCCA
rnacentral:tRNA from 1 species